rnacentral:tRNA from 1 species
UGCGGGGUGGAGCAGUGGUAGCUCGUUGGGCUCAUAACCCAAAGGUCGCUCGUUCGAGUCGGGUCCCCGCUA